GGUUGGCUUAGAAGCAGCCACCCUUGAAAGAGUGCGUAACAGCUCACUGGUCGAGUGAUCUUGCGCGGACAAUGUAACGGGGCUCAAGUCUGGUACCGAAGCCACGGGUUCGAUCUUUGAUCGAGCGGUAGCGGAGCGUCGAUCUCGCAGUGAAGCGGCAGGGUGACCGGUCGUGGAGCGUGGUCGAGUGAGAAUGUUGGCAUGAGUAGCGAAAGAGGGGUGAGAAACCCCUCCGCCGGAUGUCCAAGGGUUCCUGGGGAAGGCUAUUCCACCCAGGGUGAGUCGGGAGCUAAGGCGAGGCCGAGAGGCGUAGUCGAUGCACAACCGGUUGAUAUUCCGGUACCACCACAUGCGCGUCCAUUCCAAUUUCAGCUUGCUAAGGGGCUGUGCCGGCUUUCGGGCCGUCACGAACCGACCCAGCUUUAGGCGGAAAGCCGUAGGGGGACGCAGGAAGGUAGAUGAUCCCGGGCGAUGGUAGUCCCGGGGUAAGCGUGUAGGACGAGGACCAGGCAAAUCCGGGCCUCACGAAGUCUGAGACGUGAUACGGACCCGCUUCAGGGGAAGUCAUUGAUCCUAUGCUGCCAAGAAAAUCCUAGCGGUGAGUUCAUGUGGUGCCCGUACCCCAAACCAACACAGGUGGUCAGGUAGAGAAUACCAAGGCGAAUGGGAUAACAGUGGUUAAGGAACUCGGCAAAAUACCUCCGUAACUUCGGGAGAAGGAGGACCCCAUUAGGGUGAAGGCCCACGCGGCUGGAGCUCGAAGGGGUGGCACAGAAUUGUGGAAAGCGACUGUUUACUAAAAACACAGCAGCGUGCGAAGCCGUAAGGCGCUGUAUACGCUGUGACGCCUGCCCGGUGCUGGAAGGUUACGGGGAAGGGUUAGUCUUCGGACGAAGCUCUGAACCUAAGCCCCAGUAAACGGCGGCCGUAACUAUAACGGUCCUAAGGUAGCGAAAUUCCUUGUCGGGUAAGUUCCGACCUGCACGAAUGGCGUAACGACUUUCCAACUGUCUCAACCACUGACCCAGCGAAAUUGAAGUACGAGUAAAGAUGCUCGUUAGCUGCAGAAGGACGGAAAGACCCCGUGGACCUUUACUGCAACUUGAUGUUGGGUUUUGUUAUGCGUUGUGUAGGAUAGGUGGGAGACGAGGAAGCAUUGGCGCCAGCCAGUGUGGAGUCAUCCUUGAAAUACCACCCUGCGUAUGGCGAGGCUCUAACCCAGACCCGUUAUCCGGGUCGGGAACAGCGUCAGGUGGGUAGUUUGACUGGGGCGGUCGCCUCCUAAAGAGUAACGGAGGCGCCCAAAGGUUCCCUCAGCCUGGUUGGCAAUCAGGCGUCGAGUGCAAUGGCAAAAGGGAGCUUGACUGCGACACCGACACGUGGAGCAGGAGCGAAAGCUGGGCAUAGUGAUCCGGCGGUUGCGUGUGGAAGCGCCGUCGCUCAACGGAUAAAAGGUACCCCGGGGAUAACAGGCUGAUCUUCCCCAAGA
rnacentral:rRNA from 1 species